rnacentral:tRNA from 1 species
UCCCGCGUAGCUCAGCGGUAGAGCAUUCGGCUGUUAACCGAAGGGCCACUGGUUCGAAUCCAGUCGCGGGAGCCA